rnacentral:rRNA from 1 species
GACGAACGCUGGCGGCGUGCUUAACACAUGCAAGUCGAACGGAAAGGCCCUGCUUUUGUGGGGUGCUCGAGUGGCGAACGGGUGUGUAACACGUGAGUAACCUGCCCUUGACUUUGGGAUAACUUCAGGAAACUGGGGCUAAUACCGGAUAGGAGCUCCUGCUGCAUGGUGGGGGUUGGAACGUUUCGGCGGUUGGGGAUGGACUCGCGGCUUAUCAGCUUGUUGGUGGGGUAGUGGCUUACCAAGGGUUCGACGGGUAGCCGGCCUGGGAGGGUGACCGGCCACAUGGGGACUGAGAGACGGCCCAGACUCCUACGGGAGGCAGCGGUGGGGAAUAUUGCACAAUGGGCGGAAGCGUGAGGCAGCGACGCCGCGUGCGGGAUGACGGCCUUCGGGUUGUAAACCGCUUUCGCCUGUGACGAAGCGUGAGUGACGGUAAUGGGUAAAGAAGCACCGGCUAACUACGUG